rnacentral:tRNA from 1 species
AUUUAUAUAGUUUAAAAAUAAAACAAUUCAUUUUCAAUGAAUAGAUGAAUAUAAAAACUCUAUAAAUU